CAAUUAAAUAACAUUUAUGGUUGCAUGUAUUUGCAUUAAUAGGGAAUUUAGUGAAAACCUAAAACAGCCCCCGCUACUGUAAGAAGGACGAAUGCUUUUUGUCGAGAGACGCCACUGGAAAACUGGGAAGGAAAGCAGGAGGAUGAAUUCGAGCCAGGAGACCUGCCAUAAAUGGGUAAGACAGA
rnacentral:ncRNA from 18 species